CAGCCGCCGCGGGAAUACGAAGGGUGCAAGCGUUACUCGGAAUUACUGGGCGUAAAGCGCACGCAGGCGGUUUGUUAAGUCAGAUGUGAAAUCCCCGAGCUUAACUUGGGAACUGCAUUUGAAACUGGCAAGCUAGAGUCUUGUAGAGGGGGGUAGAAUUCCAGGUGUAGCGGUGAAAUGCGUAGAGAUCUGGAGGAAUACCGGUGGCGAAGGCGGCCCCCUGGACAAAGACUGACGCUCAGGUGCGAAAGCGUGGGGAGCAAACAGGAUUAGAUACCCCAGUAGUCCCUGUCUCUUAUAC
rnacentral:rRNA from 1 species